GAUGAACGCUGGCGGCGUGCCUAAUACAUGCAAGUCGAGCGAACAGACGAGGAGCUUGCUCCUCUGACGUUAGCGGCGGACGGGUGAGUAACACGUGGAUAACCUACCUAUAAGACUGGGAUAACUUCGGGAAACCGGAGCUAAUACCGGAUAAUAUAUUGAACCGCAUGGUUCAAUAGUGAAAGACGGUUUUGCUGUCACUUAUAGAUGGAUCCGCGCCGCAUUAGCUAGUUGGUAAGGUAACGGCUUACCAAGGCAACGAUGCGUAGCCGACCUGAGAGGGUGAUCGGCCACACUGGAACUGAGACACGGUCCAGACUCCUACGGGAGGCAGCAGUAGGGAAUCGUCCGCAAUGGGCGAAAGCCUGACGGAGCAACGCCGCGUGAGUGAUGACGGUCUUCGGAUCGUAAAACUCUGUUAUUAGGGAAGAACAAAUGUGUAAGUAACUAUGCACGUCUUGACGGUACCUAAUCAGAAAGCCACGGCUAACUACGUG
rnacentral:rRNA from 1 species